UUAAUGGAGUUUUUAGACUCCACAAACAAUGUUAAAGAGUUGACA
rfam:Gossypium arboreum cultivar AKA8401 contig_55858_1, whole genome shotgun sequence.